AGCAUUAAUCAGGCUGUAAACGAGAGAUUCCCUCUGCUCCUCCACAUCUGUUCUCGUCUCUCCUCCCCCAGGUGCUCAUUUUACCUCUCGGGCUGGAAGUUUCCUGAAGUUUCGGGCAGCAGCUGGCUCUUCUCCAUCUACCUGUGCGUUCACACCUUGGCAGAGGGAUGCAUUCUGCGGAGUGUUUUAGUGUCUCACUGCCCGUGGAGUGAAUGCGUCCCACCUGGACCUGGUGUCCUCCAACAGCAGUCCCAUUCCCUACAUUGCUCUGAGGCAGUAAAAUAUUUAUAAUGCAAACUGGACAACAGCAUGCACCAUGGGGCUGUGAUCACUGUAAGGAACCGAUGCCGAGGACCUUUUUGGCCGUUCAAGUGGGGAAAACAUGAAAAACUUCAAAAGCGAGUGGAGAUUUUAGCAUUUCCCAUGCCAUUUCAAAUGGUGGGGAUUUCUCCACUCUGGUGAACCAGUCCCCUGCCUGCCCACCCCCGGAGCAAAAAGCUGCCCCUCAGGAGCAAGCAGCGGGAGCUCCCCGGGGGCUGAGGAGGGUUUGCCAGGCAGGGUCAGCACCUUGUCCCAGCCGGAGGAUGCCGCGGCUGCGAGGGAAUAGAAGCGGAGAAGGCUUACAGCACC